UCAUACCUCUGCUUUCCCCUUCAUGCACUGCAAAUUUAUUAUGUUCCAUGUCAUUAGUUUUGCAAGUUUACAUAUUUUCUGAAAUUAAAAGUGCUGUUAUUCUAUCAUGGCAGGAUAAUUUCAUUAUUUGCACGAAAUGUUUCAAAAACGGAAAUUAUGGGGAGAAAAGGUCCAUGGAGGAUUUCAAAUUAAACGAGUCAAGUGAAAUUAGUGCCAACCACAGUGCUGUCUGGACUGAGGGAGAAACUCUUCUUCUUUUAGAAUCUGUUUUGAAGCAUGGGGAUGACUGGGAACUUGUUGCUCAAAGUGUUCGAACCAAGACUAAACUUGAAUGUAUUUCAAAACUCAUUGAGCUGCCCUUUGGGGAGCUCAUGUUAGCCUCUGUUCGCCGAAAUGAUAACAGUAAUAGUGUUACUGGCAUUGUGAACAACAGAAACCAAGUUCAGGUAUCUUCAUCCGAUCACCAAGAAACUUCAAUGACACAGGAUCAAUCUUCUGAGCCUAAAAAUGAAGUUGAGCAGAAUGGAGAUGCUGUGAAUGAAAAUCCUUCAAAAAGGCGGCGGGUCUCCACACUUUCAGAUUCCAGCAGUUCACUAAUGAAGCAGGUAAGAGAUAUUAUUGAGUUUUACACCUUUAUGUUAUCUUCAUAAUUUUUCAUAUUUGGUUGCAUUCUCCUUUUUCAUGUGGAUUUUAUCUUACAUACAUAUAUUUGAAUCUAUCAAGAAAGAUUUAGUGGUAAAUGAGUUGGAUAACGACAUGGUUUUGAUAGAACACUAUGGCGUCGUUUGAUUCAUGUACUAAUACGUAGAAUUUGUGAAAGACUAGUGGCUAUGCGUGUCUUUUGUUUUUUUUAUUGCAUCUCUAGCAUAUACUGGCCAGGGAAAGGAACAUGUAAAUAUUGAUAUCAUUCUGACCUCAUGUAUUAAUAUCCGCACUUGGUUGAUUGUAUUCUCUUUUACCCUUUUAAUAUUUGAGAAUAAGGGGUGUUUGCGGAAGAUCGGUUUUUUUCCACCUUGCUUAGUAUGAUCAUGAGUUCAUGAUGUUUUGAAUCAGGUGGGUCUGCUCUCAACUGUGGUUGACCCUCAUGUCACAGCUGCUGCAGCUAGUGCUGCUAUUACAGCACUUUGUGAUGAGAAUUCGCUCCCAAGGGACAUAUUUGAUGUUGAAGAGGAUAAUGCUUCAGCAAGGUGAUCUAUAUCUGCCAGUUGUUGUUUACUUCUUUUAUCUUUCAAAUUUUGCUAGAUGCUAACUUCCUCCUCUUAAAUUGAGCCUUCAAUUUAUAAAAUCCUUAUACUUGUUAUUAUCUUUGUCAGGGCUCUCGAGGCUGAAGGUUUAGAGAUGGUGGAGGGGUCCACUCAAUCAGGUAUUUUUAUUUAUACGUGCACGAAGAUGCUAUUCUGAUAGUUAAGUCCCGCAAAACUUAACAAUAUUCUUAUAGACUCGUGAACAAAAAGUUUUGGCUCCCUCAAAUGCGAGUAUUAAAUAUUUAAAAAAUAAUAAUGAUGCAUGCUAUCCGGUCUUGUGUGAAUGAAAUCUCAGGAGACAAAGUAGGGAAAACUCCCAUUGUAAAAAAACAUAGUAGAGUCCUGCCUCAUGUGGUUUUGGUAUAGGUGGAGAAUCUUCGUAGAAGUGUUGGUAAGUGGAUGGUAGAGUAGAUGAGGAUAGUUCAAGUAUUAGAGGUGAAGCGAGACUAAGGAAAAUUAUUGGCCAAAUCAAACAAGCUUUGAAUUAAAUGGUCUAUCAAUAAACAUGGUUUAUGAUAGGACAUUAUGGCAUUGUCUGAAUAACGUCCCCUACUUCACUUGGCGGGGAAAGGUUUUAGUCGUUGUAUUUUAAGCUUGCCCAUGUUUUUCUUCAUAAAUUCUUAAUAUUACAACAACAACAACAACAACCAAGCCUUAUCCCACUAAGUGGGGUCAGCUACAUGGAUUAAAUUACGCCAUAAUGUUCUAUCCGAAACCAUAGUUGGAUCCAAAUUCUUAAUAUUAUUCUUCUCAAUACUUAGAAGAUUCAUCGGUCACUAAAAUUAGGUUUAAGUAAGUGGACAUUGUCUAGGAAACAAUCUUAUGGAGAGCAAUAGUUUCCGAAUGAUGAGUUCAUUUGCCAUGUUAGUAGAGAAUUUGGGUUAGCACCUUAUAGUGGUAUUAUUCAAAUGCAACCAAAGAAGCUGUUGGAUGUGCAUGGCAUUAUCAGUAACCUGUUUUGAGGUAAGGGGGGUUCCUGCAAAUGAACCUUAAGGAUGAAGUGGAAAAUUACUGGGAAGUGGCAAUAGAGAGGGGACCAAGUUAAAAUAAUUAAACCUUGGAGACACAAAAAGGGUGGAUGGUGGAGAAUGAAAAUAGGAACAAAGAAUUCAAAGGCUAAAUGUGCUAAUAAUAUGUCCUUUUUCUGUUUUUAAUACCUUUCUGUUUCCCUUUACCAAAAUUUUUUUUAACCUAGACACCCAUCUGUAUAUUUUAUGAAUAAAUUCAUGACUUGGAAGGUUGACAAAUUAUAACAUGAAGGAUUGAUUUUUUGCAAGUAAUAUGAUAGGCAUUAGAUGAAAGAGGGUGAUUCAGAUUAGCUGUUAAAAUAGAAAAAGAUUACAGAAAGACGAGAGCAAUCUUGCUCCUAGCCAAGGUCCACACCUUUGGCCAUACGAAAUGCUAAGAAAGUGAUUGUAAAACACGUUCUCUCCCAUGUCCGACGCCGACCUAUACCACUCUACACAUACUGGAUCCAUAUUCUUCAUUGUUGUAACUAACUUCCCCCAUCUUGUCUCCCACAAUGUGUUUAAUAGCCUGUAACAGAGCAAGAAAAUAAAUAGGGGAAUGGAGUAAUUAAAUUGUGUGCUUAAAGCCCUCUUCAGUUUUAUUUCAUUGAUGUAUUUAAAUUUCUGGCUUUUCAAUAUCUUUGAUGAAAAUUGGUAAAAGAAAAGUAAGAAAGAAAGGAAAAAACAAAUCAAUGAAGAUCAAUUGAUAUUUGCGACACAAAUUGCAUUGAUUCGUGCAUUCAAGUUGCUCUUUCUGAUUCUAAUUGUGAUUGAAAAGAUUGUAAUAACUAUGUUUGGGCAUCAUCAUAACACAUUGGUUAUGAUUCUUGUAAACUAUUACUGCAUUCGACCUCUAAUCUUAUCUUAUUCUGCAGAAGUAAAAGAUGACAUACCAUUGACACUACGUAUAAGAGCUGCCAUUGGAACGGCUCUUGGGGCUACUGCUGCACGAGCAAAGUUGUUGGCGGACCAAGAAGAUAGAGAGAUUGAACAUUUAGUAGCAACUAUAAUUGAAGCUCAGGUU
rnacentral:lncRNA from 1 species